AGAAGAAUUGGACAUCAUGUAUUUAAAUAAUUUUAAAAAAAAUCUAAAAUUCAUAACCUUCUUAUAGUAUGUAGAGAUUGGUUGCUUCUUCUUACGCUUUCAUUCUGUAUACUCCUUUGUUUCACUUUGAUGAAUCAUCUGGACUGUCUUCCCUAACGACCUCUUGCUUGGCAGUACUUAUUAGUCUCAUUGAUUCUUUAAAGAUCCAUACAUGAGUUUGUAUAUAGAGAUAAAAAUGUAUGAAAACAUGGUUAAAACAUAAAGUUUUAUUCAAAUAAGAAGGUUUAAGAGAAAAAAAACUCUUAAAACUUAUUUAUUUACAUGAAAGAUCCAUUGAUGGAUCCACUAUCUUUUGAGGAUUUAGCCUCGAAUAAAAUACAUUAAAAUUUUUGAAGAUAAAAA
rnacentral:lncRNA from 1 species